rfam:Rhodnius prolixus Rhodnius_prolixus-3.0.3-2234.1, whole genome shotgun sequence.
CAGUCCACUGGUAGCUGGAAAGCUAGGGGCGGUAGCGUG